AUUAGAGACCAUGAAUUUGUUAUUGCCAGCAGUCUAAGUGACAGAUUAUGGGAGCAACCUGGGGCCUUCCCACCAACAGGAACGGCCUUCCACCUCCACACCCAGCAACCCACCAGGACUUGCCAAGUGGUUCACAUAAUUUUAAGUCCACAGCUAUAGAGCUGAGUGCUGGUGUGUGCGGUUCAGAUUCUCACUGCACUGAGAGUACCCAGAAGAACAAGUUCACUGGAGUUCAGAGCAGUUAGAUGUGGGAGACUUGACUUGGGCAACCUGAAUGGAGAAAGAGGGAAUAAGGAUGGCUUCCACAGAGCAGAAGGGCCUGCACCAGGAAGAUUGCAGGUGUUAGCCCAGUAUCCCAGUCUGAAGACGUCCGCCCUUUAUCUUUCACAGGGAUUCCCUUGAUAAAUCCCCUGCAAGUCUGAGCCUGUCCUGGCAUCUGCUUCCCAGAGGAUCCAAAUUAACACAGAUAACUUCCAUUUUGUAGGAUGAGAUAAUGAAGUCUACAACCAUCCAAACUCAAAAUCAUCUGUUGUCAAGGAAAUACAGUUUCACAUUGCAGUGGUAAGGACCAUGGGCUUUGGGUAGACCAGGGUGUGAGUCCUACCCACCAGCGGUAUGACCUUUAGGAAAUGUCUUAGCCCGCCCUGACCCUCUAUUUCCUCAUCCGUGGAAUCAGUGAUUCUUAACUGGGAACAAUUUUGUUUCCUCCGGGACAGUUUGCAAUGUCUGGAGAUUUUUUUGGUUGUCACAACUAGGGGGAGGGGAAUGGUUGCAGCUGGCACCUAGUUGGGUAGAAGGCCAGGGACACUGCUAAAUAUCCUACAAUGCACAGAGCAGCCCCUCCAAGACAAAGAUUAUCCAGCCCAAAAUAUCCAUAGUGCAGAGGUUGGAAAACUCUGUGUUAAAUGGGGAUGAUAAUAGUAAACUAACUCAAAGAACUAUUGUGAGGACUCAAUGGGAUCAUGUGUUCAAUAUCCCUCGCCUUCCUUGUAAACUCCACAAGGGCAGGAACCAGAUGAUGUAGAUCAAUGUUCUGUAUCAUCAAUGACUGGAUCAUAAAAGGCGCAAAGUAAAUUAUUAAUUGUUGAAAUAUUUAUCAAAUGAGUGCAAAUCAACAAAUGCUAAUUGUCAUCAUCAUCGUCACCAUUGCCAUCUUUCCAGCCCCUGGCUCAGUGCCUGAGGCGUAACAGGUCCUCAAUCUUUGUUGAAUGAAUGCAUGAGAAAUGAAGGAUUAUUUACUCAUUAACUACUAAUCUGUGUGCUUUGGAGAGAUAUUGGAAACUCUUGAGAAAUAGGCCUGGCCUUUUCCUUUUUAUUUGCAACGAGGAAUUUUGUUCGUCAAAUAAAUGACCUUAAAGGAUUGAGACCGCUGCCAAGCCACAGAAUCGGAGUCGAGAGGCCUGACUCAGAGUCACGGAGAGGUUAGGACACACAUCUUGCAGGGCUUAGGCAAAAAAGGAAAAUGGGCCAGGCUUUGUGCGAACUUGCUGUGAAACAAGAGCUGUUUUCAGGGCUCAGGGAC
rnacentral:lncRNA from 1 species